GAGAGACUUAGCAAAGGCUUGCAUCAUCCCGAAAACGUCACAUACCCCAUGUAAGCUUUUUUGUAGAAUUUACAGUAUCCCGAUCCUUCCUUCCCUUUUCCUUUGAUUUUCUUCCCUAUUUCUCCCCCCAUUAUCUUGUUAAAGAAUCAACAAUAUCAUAAAAGCCUAUCCCUAUCUCUACUACUCUUCGCUUAUAUUAGAUUAGAGUAUGCAGUAGAAAUUUAUUCAACGACGAGAAAAGAAACGAAACAAAUAAAACCAACUUAUGGCCACUUCUUGGGCUGAAAAAAUAUCAAUCAACAGGGAAAGGGUGGUAAAGGAGCUCGUUCAAGGCCAAGAAUCUGCAACUCAUCUUCAAUUUCUCCUCGAGAAACCUUACGGAGAUAAUGGGUUUCUCUCAGCUAAUGAGCUUGCGGUCAAGAUCUUGAGAUCUUUCACUGAAGCUCUUACCCUGCUAACUUGUGAUUUUGUUCAGAAUUUUCAGAACCAGAUAACUUCCCAAGGGGACUCAGCUUGCUGUGAUGACCGGAGAUCUGAAGAUUCCGGCGAGAGCAGGAAGAGGGCAACUACCAAGGAGAGGAGGGGUUGUUACAAGAGAAAGCAAGUAUACUUAAUCUAGUUGCUUUUGUUAAAUCAUUAGACUAUAUAUUUUGCUUAUGAAAAUUAACACAAGAAACUUUUUUUUUUCUUGGUUCAGGAAGACUUCCCAGUCAUGGACAACAGUCUCAGAUGCAAUAGAAGAUGGUCAUGCAUGGAGAAAAUAUGGGCAGAAAGAGAUCCUCAAUGCUAAAUACCCAAGGUUGUAAUGCUUAUUUUGAAUUAUCAUUGUCCUGUUUUAUGGAUUGGAAUCUUAAAAGAAAACACAAAGGAGAAAAGGGGUGUGAAAUUAGGACUUUACUAAAAAGAGGAAAGUGAGUUUUCCCUGUUCCUAAUGCUAAACCCACUUCUUAUUUGUUUGAUGGACAGGAGCUACUUUAGGUGCACCCACAAGUACGAUCAAGGGUGCAAGGCAACGAAGCAAGUCCAGAGAAUGGAAGAAGAUCCACAAAUGUAUCAAACCACUUAUAUUGGUCACCAUACUUGCGGUGAUAUUCUUAAGGUUCCACAAAUCAUCACAACACAAGAUUGUUCGCCUUGGGAAUCUUAUAAGCUUACUUCCAAUUCAAACACUCUUACCCAAAUGGACCAUCAACACCAUCCACCCACCAAAAUUAAGCAAGAAUAUAAGGAAGAGAAUCCAAGCGAUCUAACAGAUAAUCUUUCAUCUUUGGACUCUAUCAUAUGGAAGGAUCUUGUAGCAUUUGAAUCAGCUGAGCCUGGUGAUCUUGUAGCUUCUACAGAGGCUACUUCUCAAAGUUUGGACAUAGAUUUUGCGGUGAAUUCCAUUGAACUUGACAGUGAUUUUCAUUUUGAUGAAAGUAAGUUCAACUACCUAACUUAAUAAGGUAGAAAGCUGUAGGUUUUCCCUUGUUAUUGUGGAAUAAGUAGCCGGCAUGAUUGUGGCCAUUCUAAUUAGCCUCCAAUAUUCUCAUUCUCAACCUAAAAUUCUGCUGUUCAUAUUGAAAAGGAGUAUGUGACAAUAUUGUAUUACUGUUUGCACUUUAUGUGCUUAAUAGCGAGAGACUUUCUAAUUCAAAUGACAAAAAGUUUUGAUCACCAACACUUU
rnacentral:misc_RNA from 1 species